CGGGGCUGCGCGGGGCCGGGCUCACCGGGCGGGCUGCGGUGAGUGGGGCCGGCCGAGGGCUCCUCCCCCCGCCCGUGUACGGAGCCCGGGAGCCCGCGCCCGCCCACCCGCCCCGCAGCGGCCGGGCUCCUGGGCCAGCGCGGCGAGGCCUCGGCUGUCCUUGCCGGAAGGUGAGACCGUCGUCCCCCAGGCACGUGGAGGACGGGAGACGUGCCUCCUCUGGAAGGUGCGGAAAACGAACGCCACUCACCCGUGCGGGGCCCACCAGACCAAGAAAUGAGGACGGGCCAACAAAGAUGCUGUCCUGCAGUGUGUGCGCCAGAGUGACCAAGUGACCACCUCAUGCCAGCCAUUCCUGGAUUUGAGCCUGACUCUGCCACUUACUCGCAGUGUGCCCAUAGAAGCCCCUGCUCUGCCAAAGAAGCCUUCUUCCUCCUUGGGCCUGUGACUGUUUACCUGCUCUCAGAAAAGCAGGUGUCAGGAGGCAGCUGCUGGUUGUGGUCUGUUCUCCCCAGAUACCAGAGCGCCUGGCCUCCUCCACACUGGUGGCCAUUGGCUAACAGGAAGCCAAAACAGAGUCAUGCUCGCCACCCUCAGCCACCUAGCUGGCGAACAAAGAGAGCACAGGAAACACCUGGAGGAGCAGGCAGCUGGCAAGGGGACGCUCUGCCCAAGAGAAGAAAGAGUUCCUGACAGGAGCUGGCCGAGAGGAACUGGGGGAGGGGCUCUGACACUUAAUUGCCCUUCUCUUGGCUCCCAGCAGCUGCUGAGAACUGACAGCUGAGUUGUUCAAAUGUGCCCUCACUCCCACCCCCACUGUAAAGGAAUCAGCCCCCUCUAGCACCAGCUUCCUAGAGCCAAAGCAAGAACACUCAUAAAGGAGGCUCUGCAGAGGGCUUUGCCUCUGCUCCUCUCCUUCCUUCCACGGCCUCCUCACCCCCAGCCAGAGAAUCUGAUCGUCUUUGGACCAUGUAAAUUUAAACCCGUGGUCCAGGCGUGAAGACAGAAUCCUUAACCAAUGUCUCGGCCUGUGUUAUGUGAAAGCGUAUUCCAAAGAUGCGUCUCCUUUAUUUCCAAACUUAUUUAUCUAGAUCUUCAUCCAUAUCCGCCCACUGACUGUUUAUGAUUCCAAGUAGCUGUGGUUCAGGAUGGAACAGACUUCACCAGGAUGAUCAAAUGAAGCCCUACCAUCAGCAUCCACCCAAGAGCAUGUCUGCUAGCGUGUAGACCGUGUGCUGGGAACUAUGUGUCAGCCAGUGCACUCAGGCAGUAUACCCAGACUGCCUGUGCCAAGUUGUGUUGACAGCACAUGGGAGAAUAAAAAGAAACAGAAGACAAUGGUUCCUCCUAUGGGGGGGUGCAUGUGGUAACACAUGGAGAGGGGACUUGAGCUUGCAAAGCCACCAGACAUCAACCAAAAGUGAUACGUGAAAAUGUGCUGACUGUAUUUGUUAUAAAAGUGUGA
rnacentral:lncRNA from 1 species